rnacentral:rRNA from 1 species
AUGUCUACUUGGAGGCUGUGCCCUUGAGGCGUGGCUUCCGGAGCUAACGCGUUAAGUAGACCGCCUGGGGAGUACGGCCGCAAGGUUAAAACUCAAAUGAAUUGACGGGGGCCCGCACAAGCGGUGGAGCAUGUGGUUUAAUUCGAUGCAACGCGAAGAACCUUACCUGGUCUUGACAUCCACGGAAGGUCUCAGAGAUGAGACUGUGCCUUCGGGAACCGUGAGACAGGUGCUGCAUGGCUGUCGUCAGCUCGUGUUGUGAAAUGUUGGGUUAAGUCCCGCAACGAGCGCAACCCUUAUCCUUUGUUGCCAGCGGUUAGGCCGGGAACUCAAAGGAGACUGCCAGUGAUAAACUGGAGGAAGGUGGGGAUGACGUCAAGUCAUCAUGGCCCUUACGACCAGGGCUACACACGUGCUACAAUGGCGCAUACAAAGAGAAGCGACCUCGCGAGAGCAAGCGGACCUCAUAAAGUGCGUCGUAGUCCGGAUUGGAGUCUGCAACUCGACUCCAUGAAGUCGGAAUCGCUAGUAAUCGUGGAUCAGAAUGCCACGGUGAAUACGUUCCCGGGCCUUGUACACACCGCCCGUCACACCAUGGGAGUGGGUUGCAAAAGAAGUAGGUAGCUUAACCUUCGGGAGGGCGCUUACCACUUUGUGAUUCAUGACUGGGGUGAAGUCGUAACAAGGUAACCGUAGGGGAACCUGCGGUUGGAUCACCUCCUUACCAGAAAGAA